UACAGAGGUCCCAAGCGUUGUUCGGAUUCACUGGGCGUAAAGGGUGCGUAGGUGGUGAGGUAAGUCGGAUGUGAAAGCUCCGAGCUCAACUCGGAAAUGGCAUUGGAAACUACCUUGCUGGAGGGUUUGAGGGGGGACUGGAAUACUUGGUGUAGCAGUGAAAUGCGUAGAUAUCAAGUAGAACACCAGUGGCGAAGGCGAGUCCCUGGAAAACACCUGACACUGAGGCACGAAAGCUAGGGGAGCAAACAG
rnacentral:rRNA from 1 species